rnacentral:rRNA from 1 species
UGGGGAAUCUUGCGCAAUGGGCGAAAGCCUGACGCAGCCAUGCCGCGUGAAUGAUGAAGGUCUUAGGAUUGUAAAAUUCUUUCAGCGGGGACGAUAAUGACGGUACCCGCAGAAGAAGCCCCGGCUAACUUCGUGCCAGCAGCCGCGGUAAUACGAAGGGGGCUAGCGUUGCUCGGAUUUACUGGGCGUAAAGGGCGCGUAGGCGGAUUGACAAGUUGGGGGUGAAAGCCCGGGGCUCAACCUCGGAAUUGCCUUCAAAACUGUCAGUCUUGAGUUCGGGAGAGGUGAGUGGAACUCCGAGUGUAGAGGUGAAAUUCGUAGAUAUUCGGAAGAACACCAGUGGCGAAGGCGACUCACUGGCCCGAUACUGACGCUGAGGCGCGAAAGCGUGGGGAGCAAACAGGAUUAGAUACCCUGGUAGUCCACGCUGUAAACGAUGAGUGCUAGUUGUCGGCAGGCAUGCCUGUCGGUGACGCAGCUAACGCAUUAAGCACUCCGCCUGGGGGAGUACGGUCGCAAGAUUAAAAACUCAAAUGAAUUGACGGGGUCAUAGCUGUUUCCU